CGCUGAAUAAAGGGGUGCUGCAAAGGCGGCUGAGAUUACACCCAUAGAACCUGGAACGGGUAAUGCCGUUUAGGGAAAUCGGUUGAAUGUAGCAU
rnacentral:ncRNA from 1 species